UCUGUUUGGCAGCGCAUUUUAUUGAUUCUGAAUGGAAACUUCAUAGGAAAAUCAUCAAAUUUGGUGUGUUUUGGUCAUCACCUACUAGUUUAGAAAGGAUGAUACAUUUUAAGGAUGCGUACUGGAUUCAGAUAGUGGACCAUUUGAAGUCAUACAGGAAGCUAUAAGAGAUUGGAAUCUUGAUCAGAAGCAUUUCAGCUUGACAUCUGUCAGUGCAAUUAGAGGCGAUGAGGGUACCUCAAAGCUGAUUGAGUUGCUCAUCCAAAGGAAAUGCCUUCCUAUUAGAGGUGAGCUGUACAAUGUGGCUUGUGUGGAUGAUGUGCUUAACAGCAUUGUUUCGAAAGGGCAACCAGUGCUUCAUCAUGUUGGUAACAUACUAGAGAAAUUUAUUCAGGCACAUAUGUCCUCAUCGCUGACUCGGCAGCAACUUUUGGAAGUUGUUACACAUAUGGGAUUGAAGUGCCCACAAGAGGAUGCAAAAUGGUGGCAUAAAAUUUACUUCAGGCCUGAAGUUUUUCUGCAUUUCAAGAAGGCAUUUCCAUCAGAAGAACUGUUAUCUGCAGAAGAUACUAAAACUGUGGAAUCUGUUUGCAGGAUACUGAGGGCUUUUUAUCGUGCAGUUGAAGUAAUUUCUGGACCUGUUUGCCCCACAGCAAAUAUAUACUUCAAUGAACUAUGGAAAGUUAGAACAACUUUGCAAGAAGAAGCAUCUUCUGAUGACAGUGAACUUGCUAACAUGGUUUGGGUGAUGCAAGAAGCGUUCAAUGAGUAUUGACAAAAUUCAUAUGUGUGGCUGUCAAUACCCAUUGUUCUUGAUCCGAGAUUCAAAAUUACCUUUAUUGAGUUCCGUCUAAAGCGAGCUUUUGGUACUGAUGCAGAGAAGUAUGUAUCUGCCGUGCGUGAUGUAAUGAGAGAGCUGUUCCAUGAGUAUUGUGGUCCUCUUGAAAAGUCAGGGGCUGACACAUCAACUCAUGAAGCUCCUAUUGUUGAGUUUGAUGGAUUUGAUAGUGAUUCAUUGGAAGAUUGGGAUGAGCAUCUUAAUGCACAGACACGGAGCCAACUAUUGACUGAACUUGACAACUACCUUGAAGAUGGUCUUGUUCCGAGGAAGGAUGAUUUCGAUAUUCUAAACUGGUGGAUGAACAAUUCUACAAAGUAUCCAACCCUCUCAAUAAUGGCACGUGAUGUCCUGGCAACGCCAGCUUCUGCUGUUAAUUGUGAGGCUGCAUUGAACGUUGACGGAGAUAAGAUUCAUAAGCAAUGGAUCACAUUAAAUAUCAGCACAAUUGAGGCUCUUGUAUGUACUCGAGAUUGGAUUAAAUAGAAAGAAAUUACAAGCAGUUCAUAACCAUCGUGCUUCUAACUCAGGAACCUAGGAUGACAUCGCAAAAGAGUGCACUGCCCAUUGCCAUGCUGUAUCAGACAUUCGGACAUCUUGCAGCCACCAGUAUACUUGUAUAUUUGUGUGUAAUUCAGAAGCUACAAAACGAGAGCUUCUGGGUGCUCACAUGUAUUACGCAUUGUUGCCUAGGAUUGUGGUGCAGAUUAUUUGUACAGUGCGAAUGAUGUGCUGCUGUUUUAACCUGGCAACUGAUUUGAUAUUUGUUCA